UGUGCCUUGUUUUUACAAAGGUAAGUGUUAUCUGGUGUCAUGUAUCGUCAUGAAUUUGAGGACAUCAAAAUCAUCCGGAUCGUCGUCGAAAAGAAAAUUCAUUCCUCUUCAGGGAAAAUAGUCCAGUGAAUCAAACACAGAUGAGUACGACGAGGCGGGAAACCAUAACUGGAAAAACUCUGGGUCCUAGGCAACGUAAAGGCUGAUUUCCUCUGAGAACCGGCACAGGAAACAGGAAAAAGGAAUGGGUGACUGAAUCCAAGACUUCUUCAGAAACAGCACACCCUAGAGUUUGGAGGACAAAUAAAAGAAACGAUCUUAUCUGAAUCACUUCUGCGUCCUUCUUCAUAAUAAGACCACCAGUCAUCU